rnacentral:rRNA from 1 species
UUUUUGAAUUUAAUUUAAAGUCUAACCUGCCCACUGAAUAAAUUUAAAUGGCCGCAGUAUCCUAACUGUGCAAAGGUAGCAUAAUCAUUAGUCUUUUAAUUAAAGGCUGGAAUGAAUGGUUGAAUGAAAUAUUAACUGUUUCAUAAAAAUUAUAAAUAAAAUUUUAUUUUUUAGUCAAAAAGCUAAAAUAAAAUUAAAAGACGAGAAGACCCUAUAAAUCUUUAUAUUUAAAUAAUUUUAAUUAUAUAGAUUAAUUAAAUUAUAAUUAUUUUAAAUAUUUUAUUGGGGUGAUAUUAAAAUUUAAUAAACUUUUAAUUUAUAAUUUACAUAAAUUAAUGAAUUAUUGAUCCAUUUAUUAUGAUUAAAAAAUUAAGUUACUUUAGGGAUAACAGCGUAAUUUUUUUAGAGAGUUCAUAUUGAUAAAAA